rnacentral:rRNA from 1 species
AGUGAACGCUGGCGGCAGGCCUAACACAUGCAAGUCGAGCGGCAGCGGGUCCUUCGGGAUGCCGGCGAGCGGCGGACGGGUGAGGAAUGCAUCGGAAUCUGCCCUGUCGUGGGGGAUAACCUAGGGAAACUUAGGCUAAUACCGCAUACGACCCACGGGUGAAAGCGGGGGAUCGCAAGACCUCGCGCGAUAGGAUGAGCCGAUGUCCGAUUAGCUAGUUGGCGGGGUAAAGGCCCACCAAGGCGACGAUCGGUAGCUGGUCUGAGAGGAUGAUCAGCCACACUGGGACUGAUACACGGCCCAGACUCCUACGGGAGGCAGCAGUGGGGAAUAUUGGACAAAGGGCGCAAGCCUGAUCCAGCCAUGCCGCGUGGGUGAAGAAGGCCUUCGGGUUGUAAAGCCCUUUUGUCCGGGAAGAAAUCGUCUGGGCUAAUACCCCGGGCGGAUGACGGUACCGGAAGAAUAAGCACCGGCUAACUUCGUG